rnacentral:rRNA from 1 species
GACAGAGGGUGCAAACGUUGUUCGGAAUUACUGGGCGUAAAGCGCGUGUAGGCGGCCCUGCAAGUCGGGUGUGAAAUCCCACGGCUCAACCGUGGAAGUGCAUUCGAAACUGCAGGGCUAGAGUCCUGGAGAGGAAGGUGGAAUGCUUGGUGUAGAGGUGAAAUUCGUAGAUAUCAAGCGGAACACCGGUGGCGAAGGCGGCCUUCUGGACAGUGGCUGACACUGAGGCGCGACAGCGUGGGGAGCAAACAGG